rnacentral:misc_RNA from 1 species
UCACACUUUGUACAGGCAAAAUUGUAUGAGUGUUAAGCCAUUGUCCACAGCAUUUCUACAUGAAUCUUUCCAUUCUUUGAGUUGAUCAGAUUGUACUUCUCGUUUAUCCUCCCAUUGCUCACAACAUCGGCGAGAUUGAUUUCCACAUGCCCCAGUGAUUCCUUUUGCAGAAAACUGAAGACAGUCCGUUUGCUCAUAACUUCAAUAUGGAUCUUCUCUCGAAUUGGAGGCUCCUCCAGCAUAAAUGGGAAUUCUUCAUUCCACGAUGGGUCACGAGUUUUCUUGAUCAUCUUCGUUUUCUUCCUCUCUCCUCUGAAGUGUAUAACAGCAUAAGGAUUAUUAUGCUUCUCCCCCUCAACAUCAUGAGCUCCCUGGAUGGUCACUGAUAAUACACCUGCUUCGCUCGAUAUACGGUUCUCCGGCUGAGCAAUGCUUCCGCCUUCGCUCUUCACGUCACUGGUUGAGUUUUCAAGAUAUUUCAUGCUUUCUUCUCUUAAAGGAGUAAACAUGAGCUCCACCACAAGUGUCCCUCUGG